rnacentral:lncRNA from 1 species
GACAGCAAGGUGGCACAAACUUGGAGUAGAUUAUUACAAACCUUACAUAUUGUAUUUGUUGAAAUAAUAUAAAAUUUUAUCCUUUCAGGAGAGACAUUUAUCACUCCAUGACUAAACAGUGCUAGAGUAUUUUAAUACUUAAUUCUUUGUUUCCUAUGAGGGAGAAAAUACCAUUGAUUAUAGAGUAGCUAUUAGAAGACUUUAGGGUUUAAGAAAUGUGACUAAAAGUCUUCUUGAACAAAUACAUAUAAUAAAAAUGCAUGACUUCCAAAUUCGUAAUCUCAUAUUUUGAGCAUUGCUUACAACAUGUUCAUGUUGUUGCAGAGUACCUGCAUUGAUUUUUAUUUUGUAAUAUACAAGAAGUAAAUAAUUUUUUUGGUAAAUGUGAGUAAUCUCUUGGUGAGGAUGAGUCAGCCACUACCCAAAAGUCUAGCUACCAAGUUAAAAUAAAUGUAUGUCUAGUCAGAUUGAAUUUUAACCUAUAUCUAAACAUUGAUUAUCAAGCAGGCAUAAAAUAAUAUUUAAUUUUUUCUGUAAUCUGGAUGAAGUUCUAGCCACCUGUUGUUAAGACCACAUUUUUUACUAAUAAUUUAUUUGAUGUGAACAAGUCCAUAUUCUGAAGGCACUUUGAGUUAACCUUAUUAGUUUCAUCGAUCAUAUUCAGAAUCCUCCAAUUCAAGAUAAUCCAAGAACUUUAAGAAACAAGUCUAGUGUGUUAGCCUAAGAUUAUAAACUUCACAAUUUCUAAAGUUUUUUUAUUCUGUCCUUGCAAAGGUAAAGAUUGUUUCAAUGACGUGUAGAAAAUUCACGUCUUUGACUCUACUUAUUUAAAAUGUAUACACAAAACAACAACAAAAACAUUUCUAACAUCCAUUAUUCCAGUCAAAAAGCCACUGCUGUUGAUCAGAUAGAGAGAUAAAUGAAGCACUUUCAGCAGCCACAUAUACAGUGGGAUUUUUCUAAUUAGAAUGCUAACUAAAUGCCUCUCAGAUAUAAAUUUAUAAUUAAGAAAUCUGAGUAAUCCUAGAAUGCAACUUUAACUAAUGAGUGUGUACUAUUACAUUGCCUAUGCUUAUUUUAAAGUACACUUCAUACUUCAAACCAUCUGCCAUUCAGGAAUAUAAUUUUUGAGUCCAUAUAGACUCAUGGGAAAAAUAGCUUCUGUCACAUAAGCUAUAAAACAAUGAGCCUGGAAGGGCAACCAUUUAAAGUACUGCACUUGGAAUAUAUCACGAAUGAAAUGCAUGGAUUUUUACAACUUAUUCUUAAUGUUAUAGAGAGAUCACAGAAACCCAAACCAUGGUUUAGGCAAUAUGUUAAUGCUUAAAUUAUGUGUGGGUUCCACAUGUUUUUCCAGAGAUUUACCUUGUAACUUGAAAUGUAUUGAAGGUGAUAGCUCAUGAAUGGAGGACACAUGGCAAGGAUGAUUAAAUUAUCCUCUCUGUUCGAUUUGAGAACAGAAGGAAGCAGUGGGCAAUUUUGUAACUAUCCAGUUCUUGAUAUGAGGAAACAAUCUCAGGCCAUGCUUAGACCAAGACUGGUCUGGAGCAGGUGAGUAGAAUCAAUCUUUGUCAAAUGUCUAUUACUCAGCCUUAAGAACAUGAAAAUGGACCACAAUCUAGGCCAUGUUGCACAGUUUUCAUUCAUAUUUAGAAUUUCAUGUAAGUUUUCUUGUAAGGUUUUUAAGGUUUUGCUAAAUAGGGAAAAUAGAACAAUGCAAAAUCUCAGAGUAUUUCAUUUAAUUUGGUAUAAGGUUGUUUGAAGAAGGAGGAAGAAAAAAAAAACAUAGCAAAGGCUAUUGAUUUAACUUCUUACCCACUUAAUUUACCUUAUUGAGGUAUAACACAUUUUUAUAGACUAUUUAAACAUUAGUAAGAUUUUUUUUUCCCAUUCUCCCAGAAAGAAAAGUCAUAGUAUUGGAUGCAGAUAACAGUAUGUUAAUGAGUUCUUGGGUGAAAAACUAAAUGCUAACUAAAUGGCACAGGUCAAUAUAAAUAUCCAUAUGUUUCAAAGGUUAUAGAAACGUCUCACUAUAGUUUAAAUGAUGAACAAAUUAUUACAUGCGCUUGGGAGUGCCUCAUUAAUUUAUUAAAAUAAAAUCCAGUCAUUAUUUCCAAAAUCACAAGCUUGUUGUUUUUAAUUACUAAAUGAUUAUAAGUACUAAAUGAUUAUUUGUACAAUCUGUUUAAAAGGAAAGAGAGUUAUGGGAGAUCCUAGGAUGCGUUUUUUAAUUUUAUUGGCAUAUAGCUGACUUAAAAUGUUACAUUACGAGUUCCCACUGUGGCAUAGUAUUAAGUAAUGAAUCCGGCAAGUAUCCAUGAGGAUGCAGGUUUGAUCUCUGGUCCUGCUUAGUGGGUUAAGGCUCUGGCAUUGCUGUGAGCUGUGGCAAAGGCCAGCAGCUACAGCUCCAAUUUGACCCCUAGCUUGGGAACUUCCAUAUGACACAGAUAUGGCCCUAAAAAGCAAACAAAAACAAAAGCAAACCAAACGAAAACAAAACAAAGAACAGUUGCGUUAGUUUCAGCUAUACAGCAAAGUGAAUCAGUUACACACAUACCUAUAUCCAUUCUUUUUUCCUAGACAGGUUAUGACAAUCUAUUGAAUAAAUUUCCCUGAUCUAUAAAGUAAGUUCUUGUUAAUUAUCUAUUUUAUACUGUAGUGUGUACAUGUUAUUCCCAUCCUCCUAAUUUAUCUCUCUCCCCUAUGGUUUUCCCUAUGGUAACCAUAAUUUGAUUUUGAAAUCUGUGAGUUUGUUUCUGUUUUAUAAAUAAGGUUUUUUGUAUCAUUUUUAUUAAAUUCCACAUAUAAGUGAUAUCAUAUAUUUGUCUUUCUCUGUCUGACUUACUUCACUUGGUGUGAUAAUCUCUAAAUACAUUCAUGUUGCUGCAAAUGACGUUAUUUUUUUCUAUUUUAUGGCUGAGUAGUACUCCAUUGUAUAAUGUACCACAUCUUCUUUAUCCGUUACUCUAAAAUGUACAUUUAGGUUGUUUCCAUGUCUUGGCUACUGAGAAUAGUGCUUCAGUGAACAUUAGGGGUGCAUUUAUCGUUUCAAAUUAUGGUUUUCCCUAAAUGACCAGUAGUGGGAUUGCUGGAUCAUAUGGAAUUUCUACAUUUUUAAGGAACAUCUAUACUGUCUUCCAUAGUGGCUGCACCAAUUUAAAUUCCUACUAACAGUAUAGGGGAAUACCUGUUUCUCCACAUGCUCAUCAGAAUUUAUUGUUUGUACACAUUUUAACAACUGCCAUUCUGACUGGUGAGAGGUGAUACGUCAUUGUAGCUUUGAUUUGCAUUUCUCUAAUACUUAGUGAUGUUGAAUAUAUUCUCGUGUUUUUUUAGCCAUCUGUCUGUCUUCUUUGGAAAAAGAAGGUAUAUUUAGACCUUUUGCCCAUUUUCUGAUUGUGUUGUAUGUUUUCUUGAUAUAAAUCUGUGUGAGAUGUUCGUGUAUUUUGGAGAUUAAUCGCUCGUCAGUUGCUUUGUUUGCAAAGAUUUUUUUUUCCCCUUUCUGUGUGUUAUAUUUUCAUUUUUUUUAUAGUAUCCUUUGCUGUGCAAAAGCUUUUAAAUUUAAUUAGGUUCCAUUUGUUUGUUUUUGUUUUUAUCCUCAUUAGUCAAGGAGGAGGAUCAAAAAAGAUAUUUCUGCAAUUUAUGUCAAAGAGUGUUCUGCCAGUGUUAUCUUUUAGGAGUCUUAUGGUAUCUGGCCCUAUGUUUGUCUUUAAUCCAUUUUAAGUUUAUUUUUGUUUACAGUGUUAGAAAAUGUUCUAACUUCAUUCUUUUACAUGUAGCCAUCCAGUUUUCCUAGCACUAUUUAUUGAAGAUACUGUCUUUCUUCCAUUGUAUAUUAUUGCCUCCUUUGUCAUAUAUUAGUUGACCAUAGAUGUGUGGGUUUUUUUCUGGGCUUUCUAUCCUGUUCCACUGAUUUAUAUUUCUGUGCAUGUGCCAGUACCCUACUGUAUUGAUGAAUAUAGUUUUGUAGUGUAGUUUAAAGUCAGGCAGCCUGAUUCCCCCAGUUCUAGUUUUCAAGUAUGCUCUGACUAUUUAGGGUCUUUUGUGUUUCCAUACAAAUUUGAAAAUAUUUUGCUAUAGUUCUGUGAAGAAUGUUAUUGGUAAUUUGAUAAGUAUUUCAUUGAAUCUGUAAAUUACCUUUGGUGGUAUAGUCAUUUUGACAAUAUUCUUCCAACACAAGGGCAUUUUUUGAUAUGUAUUCUCUGAUUUUUAUACCCAAGUGGGCUUUGAAUUUAUAAUAGUUUUCAUUUUGCUCUAUUUUCUCCUACAUCCGCCUCAGUUCCUUUAAGGAUCUUUAAUUGAAAAAUAAUUUCUUAAUAAUCAAGCAGGAAGUGGUCCAUAAAUACCUCAAAAACAGCCAAUUUAUAACCUGUAGUAUAUUGCUCCAACUGAAAAAUCCACUAACUUCAACACCAAUUCUUAUGUGAUAACAUAAAAUUCUAAGGGUCUUUAUUUCCAGUAGUUAGCAAUUAACCAUUAAAAAUGGCUCCAGCACAAAAAUGUCAAACCUGAAUAUGAAAUUCAGAUGUGGUCUAGCUUUUCAAUGAAUACAAACCCAUUCUCAACCUAUCACACUCAUCAAUUACAGGACGAUGUUCAAACUAGUAAUGUUGAAUUCAUAAUUAGUUCCUAUGUGAAGGCUAAGGUACAAUAAACUAGUCAGAAAACUUAUUAGACAAAAAUAAAUAUCAACCGUGGGAAACCAUAUUCAAAAGAUGUGGAGAACAGGCAACUUGGUUCUAUUCCUCUGGCAUUCUUCAGAUAUUCAGAAGUAUCUGCUGCCUUCAAACAGUUGAAAAUCUUCACUGUACUUUUGUAAUUUUGAAAGAUUCCCCUGCUUUUCACAUUUCUUUUUCUACUUUUAUCCCAUCUUAAAAUUACCCUUUGAAACUUUUGAACAUGAACAGUGAGACCACAGGGAAAUCAGGCCAUGGAUGAAUUUUUUUCUUUCAUUUUUUAUUUAACCAAAGAAAACUUCAUCUAGCCUCAGAACAUAUGGAAACUUAAUUAAGCCUCAGUCUCCAUGUCUCUGAAGC